rnacentral:hammerhead_ribozyme from 1 species
AUCCAGCAGACGAGUCUCAAAUAAGACGAAACACUCAUCCUGGAU